rnacentral:rRNA from 1 species
GACGAACGCUGGCGGCGUGCUUAACACAUGCAAGUCGAACGGAAAGGCCCUGCUUUUGUGGGGUGCUCGAGUGGCGAACGGGUGAGUAACACGUGAGUAACCUGCCCUUGACUUUGGGAUAACUUCAGGAAACUGGGGCUAAUACCGGAUAGGAGCUCCUGCUGCAUGGUGGGGGUUGGAACGUUUCGGCGGUUGGGGAUGGACUCGCGGCUUAUCAGCUUGUUGGUGGGGUAGUGGCUUACCAAGGCUUUGACGGGUAGCCGGCCCGAGAGGGUGACCGGCCACAUUGGGACUGAGAUACGGCCCAGACUCCUAAGGGAGGCAGCAGUGGGGAAUAGUGAACAAUGGGCGGAAGCCUGAUGCAGCAACGCCGCGUGCGGGAUGACGGCCUUCGGGUUGUAAACCGCUUUCGCCUGUGACGAAGCGUGAGUGACGGUAAUGGGUAAAGAAGCACCGGCUAACUACGUG